rnacentral:rRNA from 1 species
AGCGAACGCUGGCGGCAGGCUUAACACAUGCAAGUCGAGCGGGCACUCUCGGGUGUCAGCGGCGGACGGGUGCGUAACGCGUGGGAACGUGCCCUCUGGUUCGGAAUAACUCAGGGAAACUUGAGCUAAUACCGGAUACGCCCUUUUGGGGAAAGGCUUGCUGCCGGAGGAUCGGCCCGCGUCUGAUUCGCUAGUUGGUGAGGUAACGGCUCACCAAGGCGACGAUCAGUAGCUGGUCUGAGAGGAUGAUCCGCCACACUGGGACUGAGACACGGCCCAGACUCCUACGGGAGGCAGCAGUGGGGAAUAUUGGACACUGGGCGCAAGCCGGAUCCAGCCAUGCCGCGUGAGUGAUGAAGGCCUUAGGGUUGUAAAGCUCUUUUAUCCGGGACGAUAAUGACGGUACCGGAGGAAUAAGCCCCGGCUAAUUUCGU